rnacentral:lncRNA from 1 species
UCCAAGCCAAUAGAGACAAAAUUAAACUACUUAACUUCGUAAAUGGUCCUCAAAGAUAACUCCAAAAUGCUACAUUUAUACAUCCAACUUAUCAUCAUCAUCCACUACAAGUUUUACAAGAAACCAAUACAAGAAUCGAAGUGAAAUAUUAUAGUCUCACUAAUCAGUCUGAAUUAUUUGAUAAUUACAUGUAAGUACCAUUCCCCCCAUCUCACGAUACCUUAUUUCCUUCCUGUUGGGUUGGGGGGGUUGGGGGUAACAUCGUAAAACCACAUUUUGGAGCAAAUUUGGUCUAAAACACCAUCAGAGACUCCUUCACAUCAUACCCCAGCUUCUCCAAUUUGGGCUGUACCGCAAACUGGAUCAUCGGCGGCGGCCCACAAGCCAAAGCCAGCACCUCACCGUC